UACGUAGGGCGCAAGCGUUGUCCGGAAUUAUUGGGCGUAAAGAGCUCGUAGGCGGCCAGUUGCGUCCGCUGUGAAAUCCCGGGGCUUAACCCCGGGCGUGCAGUGGAUACGGGCUGGCUAGAGGCAGGCAGGGGAGAACGGAAUUCCCGGUGUAGCGGUGAAAUGCGUAGAUAUCUGGAGGAACACCGGUGGCGAAGGCGGCAUCCUGGACCAACACUGACGCUGAGGAGCGAAAGCCAGGGGAGCAAACGGG
rnacentral:rRNA from 1 species